rnacentral:rRNA from 1 species
GCGGGGCUACCCGCUGAGUUUAAGCA